ensembl:lncRNA
CCUAUUCCCAUUAUAGUGCACUACUAUAAGGCUCUGGUCAAAAGAAGUGCACUGUACAUUGGAACCAGGGUGUCAAUUGGGAAACAGACACAGUCUUGCAGGAAUCACAUGUCUGGGACACAGAGGCUUGAGGACAGCAAUGGUUCAUCAGUCAUCACACCACAUGAUCAGAGGAAGAGACAGAAGUAUUACCAAGAGACCUGGGCUAGAGAUCUGGAUGGAAAGAGUUGCAGAGAAGAAGCCUGGCUUGUUACUAAGUUAUUGAUAAACUGGGUCUCAGGCAAGGAAAGCUCAGUGCCAAUGGAGAGGGACAACAGGUCUUUAGGUUGGCAGGAUCAGAGGAGAAGUUGGGCUAGCAGGACAUCAUCACACCUCAGUGGUAGUGGGACUCCUACCCAGUCUAACAACUCCCUCCCCGGGGCUAACACUACCUCAGAGCCUGCCAGGAAGAGCCCUCUACACAGGACAACCAGCAACAACCAACAUUCUUCACACACUGAGGUUCCACCCUAUGGGACCAGCUCACAGUCUCCUGGAAUCCAACCUGGGGACGACUCAGACUCAGAACCCUGCUGGAGAUCUUCUCUACACAGGACCAAUAGCUUCCAAACGUCUUCUCCCUGGACGAUCAGGCCAAUAGUCCAAAAUAAUACUUCACACACUGAGAUAACCCCCUCUGGAACCAAAUGUGCACCGUACAGGAGCAACAACUCUCUAUGUAGGACAAACAGCGUCCAACAGAAACCCUCACACGCUGAGUUAACUCCUUAUAGAACCAGCUCAGAGCCUUACAGAGCAACCUCUCUACAAAAACGAACAAGUUGUCUUCCACAAACUUCUCCUGCUGGGGUAGUAUCACCCCCGGCCCCUGGGACCACUACAGGUGCUACCAUCGUCCUGAAGACAACUACACCAGCCUUCUCCUCCAUUACCAUCGCCACCAAGAAGAUCUCCAGGACGACAAGCCUCCGUGAGUCUAGACCUCUGAGCCCUGGAUCUAGAGCCCCCAGACCCCAGAGCUACCACUCUAAUGAGGCCAGGGUCCCAGGCUAUAAAGCCCCCAGGCCCCAGAGCUACCACUGUGAUGAGGCCAGGGUCCCAGGCUAUAAAACCCCCAGUCCCCAGAGCUACCACUGCGAAGAGGCCAGGGUCCCAGGCUAUAAAACCCCCAGGCCCCAGAGCUACCACUGCGAAGAGGCCAGGGUCCCAGGCUAUAAAACCCCAGGCCCCAGAGCUACCACUGCGACGAGGCCAGGGUCCCAGGCUAUAAAACCCCUAGGCCCCAGAGCUACCACUGCGACGAGGCCAGGGUCCCAGGCUAUAAACACCCCAGGCCCCAGAGCUACCACACAAACCAGGCCAGACUCUCCACCACCUGCACCUCUGUCACCCAGCAGGACCAGGUCCAUCACCACCACCCCACCGGCAACGACCCAGGCUCCACCCCUGUCACACUCAGGAGAAAGUCCACUGCCACCAUAGUCAAAGUGACCGAGCACAGAAGGAUGACCUCUGAACCUGUCAACCGACUGAAUGGAAGGCAGAGCCCUGUUUCAUCUGUGUCAGGUGACCAACCAAAUGAUCAGGGCACGGCGGUUCACAGGAGAAAAGCCACCGUCAUAAAAGUGACCGAACACAGAGAGAGCUACAGCCCAGGUCAGGAUGCCAGUGGUGUGAUCAGAAGCAGCAGUAGGCCGUCAGAGUACAGACACAGUUACACAGAGGGAGUGUACAGACACAAAUCCCCGUGGCAACAAUCCCCGUGGCAACAAGGAGCCAUGAAUUCAAACAUGAACUCUAUGGAAUCCCUCCAUAGUACCCCUCCCUCCCAGUACCUUCUAGAAUCAUCUAUGGACAGGAUAGACAGGCCCAACUCUGCUCUGUUCCUGACUCCAAACAAGUCCACCUCAACCACUACAGUUGCUCUGAGGGACCCAGAGGGAAGCAGAGGUGGAGGGAAGCCAAUACAGAAGUCUACCCUGAUGCUGUUCAUCAACCCCCCUUCUCCCUCUUCCAGAGAGACGUCCAUAGAGAAGGUUGGUGUAGAGAGAGGAGGCGAAGAGAGACGGGCUCGGGACAGAGCCAGGAGACCAGCGAGCUGCUAUGCUAAUGUGUUUGGCCACACUGACCCGACAGAGCCAUGCCCGGUCUCAGAGACUGUUACUGUUACACAAGCUGGACCCGGGAACUGGAGCCCAGAGACUGUUACUGUUACACAAGCUGGACCCGGGAACUGGAGCCCAGACUGUUACUGUUACACAAGCUGGACCCGGGAACUGGAGCCCAGAGACUGUUAC